rnacentral:misc_RNA from 1 species
AAGUCGUAACAAGGUAACCGUAGGUGAACCUGCGGUUGGAUCAUUAGUGGUUUUUACGCAGCGCUGUUGUAGUGUUUCUGGGGGGUGUUGGGGUUGGUCUUUGGUUUUGUUGUUGUUUGUCUUUUUGUUUGUCUGUUUUUGUGCAGUGCCUUGUGCGAUGUCUUGUGCCUUGCCUUGUGCAGUGCCUUGUGCAGUGCCUUGUGCGGUGCCUGGCAGUACAAACGAUCGACGGCAACACUCGGACCAGACCCAAGACCUUUACAGACAAUAGACGUCUUUGCUUGCUUUGAUGAAACCAAAUCAAAAACAACUUUUGACAACGGAUCUCUUGGCUCUC